rnacentral:rRNA from 1 species
CCCAGACUCCUACGGGAGGCAGCAGUGGGGAAUAUUGCACAAUGGGGGAAACCCUGAUGCAGCGACGCCGCGUGAGUGAAGAAGUAUUUCGGUAUGUAAAGCUCUAUCAGCAGGGAAGAAAUAGCGACCUUUGGGUCGCCAGACGGUACCUGAUUAAGAAGCCCCGGCUAACUACGUGCCAGCAGCCGCGGUAAUACGUAGGGGGCAAGCGUUAUCCGGAUUUACUAGGUGUAAAGGGAGCGUAGACGGCAGCGCAAGUCUGAAGUGAAAUGCCGGGGCUUAACCCCGGAACUGCUUUGGAAACUGUGCAGCUAGAGUGCAGGAGAGGUAAGUGGAAUUCCUAGUGUAGCGGUGAAAUGCGUAGAUAUUAGGAGGAGCACCAGUGGCGAAGGCGGCCAACUGGGCUUUAACUGACGCUGAGGCUCGAAAGUGUGGGGAGCAAACAGGAUUAGAUACCCCAGUAACA